rnacentral:lncRNA from 8 species
AUGAGCGUUCUGUGGCCCACCGCAGGGACCUCAGGACCAUGUGGGGCCAAUACUCUAAGGAACUCUAUGUUCUCAACCAGAGGAAGCUGGAUGAGCGCUACGAAAACUUCAGGAAACAGAAAAAGAUCCUGUCCCAGAAGACAACUACCAAACGACUGUGCCAGCUACUGGUCCCAGAGACCAUCAAUGAAGAGGACACCAGGACCAGCUCUGAGGUCAUGCACGCCUUCGAAAUUGCUGUGUCUGGGCUGGACAAAGUCACCCCUGACCCCACAGUCUGACCCCUUAACCCCCCGGGUUUGACCCCUCAACCCUGAACCUGAACCCUGACUACCCUCAUAUCGGAAUGCAUUAAAAAACAUGCUUCACCUGUAUUGGCUUUGAUUAUAUUUGGCGCUUCAGGGUCUGCAGGAAUGCUGUAAUGAACUACCACAGGCACAAUGUGGCGGUAUAUACAUGGCUACAAAUACCAGUGUCUGAAUGGUGUUGACUCUGAGUAAUCAUUAAAAACAAAGACUGAAAAAGUGUAAAACCUAACAUCCAAUAUGGAUAGGUUGGGGUUUUGGACAGAGAUCUUGGCUUUAUGAUAGACAAUAUUUAUCUGACCUCCCAGACGAUACCUCUCAAGGUCACCAGCAUUGCUUUUGGAAAGGAGAACACAGACAGCACAGUAGAUUGAUUACAGGGUGAUCAAUUGAUGACUCAUGGUAAGAAACAGGACAACAACAUUAAUUACUGAAUAAAAUAUACAUCUCUGAUAAAGAAAACAAACUACGUUGCUUUUCUCUGAUGCCAGCUCAAACAGAGCGCUGGAUCAACAACACUUAGCUAACAGCGUGAUUUGGCCUGUGUCAUCUAGAAAGAGAGAGAGACUGACAGACCAAAUGACAGACAGCCGGCCAUUGGAAUUCCCUGAAUGUUAUCGUAAAAUAUUUAUUACAUGACAUAAAAGGAGAAAUAUCACACUUCCGAGCCAAGAGACACACUAGGGUGAGUCCACAGGCCAUUUAAGGAGAUUUGUUUGAACAACACUGCUUCCUUUGCUUCUGCAUCUUUGGCCGUAUCUCGCUAUUCUGAAGUGGAUGUUUUAAAGUGGACAUUAAUGGGGCAAUCUGCAGUUGCCACAUACAUUUUUGUACUUAUAAAUUAAUGAUAUGUACCCAAUGAUUCUUGAAGAAUAUAACUUAUAAAUGUCUCAUGAACUUACAGUGGCAAGAAAAGUUUGUGAACCCUUUGGAAAUACCUGGAUUUCGCAUAAACUGGUCAUAAAAUUUGAUCUAAUCUUCAUCUAGGCCACAACAAUAGACAAACCCAGUCUGCUUAAACUAAUAACACACAAACAAUUACACAUUUUCUUGUCUUUAUUGAACACUCCAUGUAAACAUUCACAGUGCAGGGUAGAAAAAGUAUGUGAACCCUUGGAUUUAAUAACUGGUUGACCCUCCUUUGGCAACAAUAACCUCAACCAAACGUUUUCUGUACUUGCGGAUCAGACCUGCACAACGGUCAGGGGGAAUUUUGGACCAUUCCUCUUUACAAAACAGUUUCAGUUCAGCAAUAUUCUUGGGAUGUCUGGUGUGAACUGCUCUCUUGAGGUCAUGCCACAGUAUCUCAAUAGGGAGAGUAGAAACAAUGUUGAACUUUCUCCAUUUAUGGACAAUUUGUCUUGUGGACUGAUGAACAUCAAGGCUUUUAGAGAUACUUUUGUAACCCUUUCCAGCUUUUGCAAGUGAACUAUUCUUAAUCUUAGGUCUUCUGAGAUCUCUUUUGUUCGAGGCAUGGUUCACAUCAGGCCAUGCUUCUUGUGAAUAGCAAACUGACAUUUUGUGAAUGUUUUUUAUAGGGCAUGGCAGCUCUAACCAACAUCUCCAAUCUCGUCUCAUUGAUUGGACUCCAAUUAGCUUUUGGAGAAGUCAUUAGCCUAGGGGUUCACAUACUUUUUCUAACCUACACUGUGAAUGUUUAAAUGAUGUAUUCAAUAUAGACAAGGAAAAUACAAUAAUUUGUGUGUUAUUAAUGUAAGAACACUAUGUUUGUCUAUUGUUGUGACUUAGAUGAAGAUCAGAUCAAAUUUGAUUACCAAUUUAUGCAGAAAUACAGGUAAUUCCAAAGGGUUUACAAACUUUUUCUUGCCACUGUAGUUCAACUGUCGUAACCCAUCAUAAUCAAAAAUAUAAGCUUGUUUUGUAAACAAAGUAAAUGUAGACAAAUAAUAUAUAGCCUCCAAACUAUAAUUUUUAUAUCAUGGAUGGUCAAUCCUUGCAUUCAUAGCUACAGUGCCUUGCGAAAGUAUUCGGCCCCCUUGAACUUUUCGACCUUUUGCCACAUUUCAGGCUUCAAACAUAAAGAUAUAAAACUGUAAUUUUUUUGUGAAGAAUCAACAACAAGUGGGACACAAUCAUGAAGUGGAACGAAAUUUAUUGGAUAUUUCAAAAUUUUAACAAAUAAAAAACGGAAAAAUUGGGCGUGCAAAAUUAUUCAGCCCCCUUAAGUUAAUACUUUGUAGCGCCACCUUUUGCUGCGAUUACAGCUGUAAGUCGCUUGGGUAUGUCUCUAUCAGUUUUGCACAUCGAGAGACUGAAAUUUUUGCCCAUUCCUCCUUGCAAAACAGCUCGAGCUCAGUGAGGUCGGAUGGAGAGCGUUUGUGAACAGCAGUUUUCAGUUCUUUCCACAGAUUCUCGAUUGGAUUCAGGUCUGGACUUUGACUUGGCCAUUCUAACACCUGGAUAUGUUUAUUUGUGAACCAUUCCAUUGUAGAUUUUGCUUUAUGUUUUGGAUCAUUGUCUUGUUGGAAGACAAAUCUCCAUCCCAGUCUCAGGUCUUUUGCAGACUCCAUCAGGUUUUCUUCCAGAAUGAUCCUGUAUUUGGCUCGAUCCAUCUUCCCAUCAAUUUUAACCAUCUUCCAUGCCCCUGCUGAAGAAAAGCAGGCCCAAACCAUGAUGCUGCCACCACCAUGUUUGACAGUGGGGAUGGUGUGUUCAGGGUCAUGAGCUGUGUUGCUUUUAUGCUAAACAUAACGUUUUGCAUUGUUGCCAAAAAGUUCGAUUUUGGUUUCAUCUGACCAGAGCACCUUCUUCCACAUGUUUGGUGUGUCUCCCAGGUGGCUAGUGGCAAACUUUAAACGACACUUUUUAUGGAUAUCUUUAAGAAAUGGCUUUCUUCUUGCCACUCUUCCAUAAAGGCCAGAUUUGUGCAGUAUACGACUGAUUGUUGUCCUAUGGACAGAGUCUCCCACCUCAGCUGUAGAUCUCUGCAGUUCAUCCAGAGUGAUCAUGGGCCUCUUGGCUGCAUCUCUGAUCAG